CUCAAUCUAACGAGGAAAAGGUCUCCAUCCAUAGCUAAACAUCUGACGCAUAUGUGCAGCUUUGCACUCAAAAGGCUCCAAAAUCUCCAUAUUUCUCCAGAACGUAACUGAACCUAUAAACAGUCUAAAUAGACUCUAUAUAGUAGUAAAUAUAUAUUAAGACACUUAUAAACCAUGGCUAAAUAUGGGUAAAAUUCAUGGCCUGUCAACAGGUUAUCUCCAGAAUUCGAUGGCGAAAUCGAGAAUUAAAGGGCAAAUUGUUGAGAAAAAAUACUCCGGUAUGAAAUUUCUCCAGACCCCGGGUAGGACACCGGCCUCCAGGCUCCUGCUGAAAGGAGCCCUGGUUCCGACUCCUUCCUCCGGGUAAAAUGGAAGUUUUCUACUUAAGGGGAUUCUUCCAUAUUGUCGAAUAUGGAAGAGUUUAACCUACUUCACCGACGUCUGCAAGACUAUAUAAGCGGAACCCAUACCCUAUAAUAAGGGAUUGACAUUCAGAAACUAAGAGAUUAGAGCUAUGCAGCUAGAACUAGGGUUUAUACACCAAACUUUGUAGUUCAUGCUCAUAUUAUCAAUAAAAUAUCUCUUUCAGUCUCAAUUCUUGCUUGUCUUCCAGCUCUUCUAUUGUUCUAUGGUACUCUCGAAGAUCCUACACAAAAAUAUUCCAAUAGUAAUUGGCUGACGACAAAGGAGGUUGCCAAUGAGCUUAAUAGCGUUGUGGCAACAAGCAACAGGUAACUCAGACAGUCUGCCAAACUGAGACCGAAGAAAAAUGUGAAAGAAAAACUGAAACAAAAACGCAAGCAGAAACAUUUAUCUGGAAGAAACGAUCUGACAACACAGAUUAAAAAUUAAUAAAAACAGAAACAUGCAAAUAAAACAACACGAGUUUUAAACUAAUUACAACCAGAAAAUAUGUGCACUAAGGAUAAGAGGCGAACACAGAGUCAGAGCUCUGAAGAGCAGGCGGAAUAUGGUAAAAGGAAAAAGAAAACAGAAAACCGAACAUUGGUACCCCUGAGUUUUCAGAGGUCGUGGCUGUUUGGCGGCUCUGGCUGUCAAUCUUCCCCGCCGACGUAAGUCUUCAAUUUUGAAACCAUGCCAGUAAAUUAAAGUCGAUCGGGAGCUGCUGCAGAUGAAUUAGAGCUCACAGCAGAUGAAUCAGUCACCAGGGAGAAGAAAUCGCCAAGACUUUUCGACUUUUAGUUAAACGAGAGAGAGAGAGAGAGAGAGAGAGA